rnacentral:rRNA from 1 species
AUACGGAGGGUGCAAGCGUUAUUCGGAAUCACUGGGCGUAAAGGACGCGUAGGCGGGUUGGCAAGUCAGAUGUGAAAUCCUACAGCUUAACUGUAGAACUGCAUUUGAAACUGCUAACCUAGAGUAUGGGAGGGGGAGAUGGAAUUAGUGGUGCAGGGGUAAAAUCCGUAGAUAUCACUAUGAAUACCGAAAGCGAAGGCGAUCUCCUGGAACAUAACUGACGCUAAGGCGUGAAAGCGUGGGGAGCAAACAGGAUUAGAAACCCUAGUAGUCC